rnacentral:rRNA from 1 species
GUUGUAUAGUCAAGUAAUUAAGUGUAUGUGGAUGCCUUGGCAGUCAGAGGCGAUGAAAGACGUGGGAUAGCCUCAUGGAAAGUCCUGGGAGGCAAUAUCCUUUGAUCCGAGAUGUCUGAAUGGGGGAACCCACUCACUUUAAGGUAGGUAUUGCAACAUGAAUACAUAGUGCUGUAAGAACGAGGAAGUGAAACAUCUCAGUACCCUUAGGAAAGAAAUCAAUUGAGAUUCCCCAGGCGGCGAGCGAACGAUCAGCCCAUUGCUAUGUGUGUUUUAGUGGGAACGCCCGGGAAGCAAGGAACGCAGAGGGUGAUAUUCCUGCACAUCAAAGGCACACAUACGACGAGUAGGGCGAGGCACGUGAAACCUUGUUCGAAUAUGUGGGACCAUCCUCCUAAAUACUCCUGACUGACCGAUGAACCAGUACCGUGAGGGAAGUGAAAAGAACCCUGUGGGAAAGGUGGAGUUAAUAGAUCCUGAAACCGCAUGCAUACAAGCAGUGGAGCACCGGUGGGACUGCGUACCUUUGUAUAGCUGGGUCAGCGACUUAUAUUCAGUAGCGAGGUUAACCGUAUAGUGGUUUUAGAGAAAUCGAGUCUUAAUAGGGCGUUUAGUUGCCGUAUAGACCCGAAACCAGGCGAUCUAUCCAUGAGCAGGUUGAAGGUACCAACUGGAGGGACCGGAACCCACUGCCGUUGAAAAGCCAGGGGAUGACUCUGUGGAUAGGGGUGAAAGGCUAAUCAAGCCUGGUGAUAGCUGGUUCUCCCGAAAGCUAUUUAGGUAGCGCCCCGGACGAAUACCAUAGGUAGAGCACUGUUUCGGCUUAGUGGUCGUCCUGACUUACCAAACCGAUGCAAACCUGAAUACUCAUGAGUACUAUCCGGGAGACAGAUCAGCACGUCCGUAGUCAAGAGGAAAAUAAUCCAGACCGCCAGCUAAGGUCCCAAAAUCAUAGUUGCGGAACGAUGUGGGAAGGCAUAGACAGUUAGGAGGUUGGCUUAGAAGCAGCCACCCUUUAAAGAAAAGCGUAAUAGCUCAGUCGAGUCGGCCUGCGCGGAAGAUGUAACGGGGCUUUCAAAACUAUGUGCCGAAGCUGCGUGAUGUAUACUUUGAAGCACGUGGUAGGGUGCUGCCCUGUAAGCCGACGAAGGUGUGUUGAGAAGCAUGCUGGAGGUACGGCGCGAAUGCUGACGUGAGCACCAAACGGUGAAAAACCGCUCGCCGCAGCACUCAAGGGUUCCAGUCCAACGUUAAUCGGGGUUGGGUGAGUCGACCCCAUGAGGCCCAGGAAAGGCAGUCUGAUAAAAUGGCUUAAUAUUCAUUACUCGGUGUGUAAUGCGAUGAGAGGACGGAGAAGGCUAAAUCAGCUCAGUGCUGGUUGUCCAGGUGAAAGGAUGUAGGCAAGGCAUCUUAGGCAAAUCCUACUCUAUGCUGAGAUCCAUAGUGGUCGCCUCUGUACAGUUUAGCAAUGAUGCCAUGCUUCCCAGGAAAAGUCUCUAAGCUUCAGUUACAUUGGUGAAUCGUACCCGAAACCGACACAGGUGGUCAGGUCGAGUAGACCAAGGCGCUUGAGAGAACUCUGCUGAAGGAACUAGGCAAAAUGGUACCGUAACUUCGGGAGAAGGUACGCUGUUGUUGGUGAUGGAACUCGCUUCCUGAGCUGACGACAGCCGCAGAAACCAGGCCGCUGCAACUGUUUAUUAAAAACAUAGCACGAAAGUGGACGCAUAGGGUGUGAUGCCUGCCCGGUGUUGCCGGAAGGGUUACCUGAUGGGGUUAGCGUGCCGAAGCUCUGAUCGAAGCCCAAACGGCGGCCGUAACUAUAACGGUCCUAAGGUAGCGAAAUUCCUUGUCGGGUAAGUUCCGACCUGCACGAAUGGCAUAAUGAUGGCGGCGCUGUCUCCAGCAGAGGCUCAGUGAAAUCGAAAUCGCUGUGAAGAUGCAGUGUACCCGCGGCUAGACGGAAAGACCCCGUGAACCUUUACUGCAGCUUGACACUGAACUUUGACCUUACUUGUGUAGGAUAGGUGGGAGGCUUUGAAGCUGGAACGCUAGUUCCAGUGGAGCCGUCCUUGAAAUACCACCCUGGUAAUGUUGAGGUUCUAACUCUGUCCCGUGAUCCGGGACGAGGACCGUGUCUGGUGGGUAGUUUGACUGGGGCGGUCUCCUCCUAAAGAGUAACGGAGGAGUACGAAGGUGCGCUCAGCGUGGUCGGAAAUCACGCGUAGAGUAUAAAGGCAAAAGCGCGCUUAACUGCGAGACCCACAAGUCGAGCAGGUACGAAAGUAGGUCUUAGUGAUCCGGUAAUCGCGGAAGGGCCAUCGCUCAACGGAUAAAAGCGUACUCUGGGGAUAAUAGGCCGAUACCGCCCAAGAGUUCAUAUCGACGGCGGUGUUUGCACCCGAUGUUUACUCAUCUCAUCCUAGCCGGAAGCAGCAUUCCGCGGGCAGCAGGUUUUGUCGCCAUCUAAAGCAGGCACGCGAGCUGGGCUUUGUGGUGCCUGGCACAGCUCGGUCCUACUUUCCACCGGGCUGGAAAUUUGAGGUGGGACCCGCCCUUUAAAAAUGAGGAUCCGUGAGGAUCAUUGUCCCUGGUAAAAACUGCUGUGACGCCAGUCGUACCAAGCUGGUAGCUAUGUUCGAAGGGAUAACUGCUGAAAGGCAUCUAAGGGAAGCCUACCUCAAGAUAAGAUUUCUAGGACUUAUGUCCUCUAAAGAGCCGUUCUGAGUUCAGGGACGUUGAUAGGUUGGAUGUGGAAGCAUAGUGAUAUGUGAAGCUGACCAAUACUAAUUGCUCGUGAGGCUUGACUAUACAACACCCAAGCAGUUG